GACGAACGCUGGCGGCGUGCCUAAUACAUGCAAGUAGAACGCUGAAGGAGGAGCUUACUUCUCUGGAUGAGUUGCGAACGGGUGAGUAACGCGUAGGUAACCUGCCUGGUAGCGGGGGAUAACUAUUGGAAACGAUAGCUAAUACCGCAUAAGAGUAGAUGUUGCAUGACAUUUACUUAAAAGGUGCAAUUGCACCACUACCAGAUGGACCUGCGUUGUAUUAGCUAGUUGGUGGGGUAACGGCUUACCAAGGCGACGAUACAUAGCCGACCUGGGAGGGUGAUCGGCCACACUGGGACUGAGACACGGCCCAGACUCCUACGGGAGGCAGCAGGAGGGAAUCUUCGGCAAUGGACGGAAGUCUGACCGAGCAACGCCGCGUGAGUGAAGGAGGUUUUCGGAUCGUAAAGCUCUGUUGUAAGAGAAGAACGAGUGUGAGAGUGGAAAGUUCACACUGUGACGGUAUCUUACCAGAAAGGGACGGCUAACUACGUGCCAGCCGCCGCCGUAA
rnacentral:rRNA from 1 species